AAUCAACGCUGGCGGCGUGCCUAAUACAUGCAAGUCGAACGCGAGAGGGGGCUUCGGCCCCAAUUGAGUGGCAAACGGGUGAGUAACACGUGGGUGAUCUACCUUCGAGUGGGGGAUAACGUUUCGAAAGGAACGCUAAUACCGCAUAACAUCCUGUCUUUAGACAGAUGGAGAUCAAAGCCGGGACGCAAGGCCUGGCGCUUGAAGAGGAGCCCGCGCCCGAUUAGCUAGNGGUGAGGUAACGGCUCACCAAGGCGACGAUCGGUAGCCGGCCUGAGAGGGCGGAC
rnacentral:rRNA from 1 species